AAAAAUCCAAAUCACGGUUUUUCGGUUCACACACGUUCCCCCAUUCCCCUUUUUUCAACAUAAUUUAUUCAUAUUCCCCUUGAGUUCAAUUAGAAGUCCCAUUCCUUACAGAGAAGGAAAAUUAGCAAAGAGCUUGAAGAAGUUAAUAAUGGAGGUUGAAUUGAGCGGUAUCACAUUUAAUGCUUUGCAAUUCAGAGACAUUGGUGAAAAUUUCAACCCCAAUCUCUACUCGAUCUUGUUGUUUUAUUAUGUGCGCCAACUGGGAGUAUAAUUUGUUAAACCUAUGUUCUAAAUUGUUAUUCAUAUUUGAUUUGCAGUAAGUCAGAGUGCUUAUUAUCUUUUUUUUUUUUGUAUGUACCUUGAAGCUGAUAAAGCGAUUUGUUUCCAGAAACUCAGAAACUUGUUGCUUUCAUUUGGAAUAAGAUAAAACUUGAUUGCUGAAUUGAAGGUUUAAAUAUUUGGUUGAAUUUGGAUUUGUGCUAAGAGGUCCAUUACAGAGAACAAUUCAUGUUACAUAAACAAGCACACAAGUUUCUUUAUUAUCUGCUUCAAGAUUGAACAGACAAGCAACGGAAUUAAAAAAGAUACGGGAGUAGAGAAGUGUGCUAAGACGGAGAAAAAUGAAAAAAAUACAAGUUAUACACUGGAACGAACGAGAUUUCAAUUGUUGUCACAAAACCCGCCAUAAUUUGUUUCCUCGUGAUAUGGGUUUAUUGUAUUGGUUUUGGAUAAUUUGGAUCUUUAUAAUAGCACAUGUGGAUAUUCAUAUUUGA